GACGAACGCUGGCGGCGUGCUUAACACAUGCAAGUCGAACGAAGUGGCGAACGGGUGAGUAAUACGUGAGUAACCUGCCCUCCUUUUUGGGAUAAGCCUUGGAAACGGGGGCUAAUACCGAAUAAAGGGGGAGGGGCUCGCGGCCUAUCAGCUUGUUGGUGGGGUAAUGUCCUACCAAGGCGGCGACGGGUAGCCGGCCUGAUAGGGUUGACGGCCACAUUGGGACUGAGACACGGCCCAGACGCCUACGUGAGGCAGCAGUGGGGAAUAUUGGACAAUGGGCGAAAGCCUGAUCCAGCCAUGCCGCGUGUGUGAAGAAGGGCUUCGGAUUUUAAAGCACUUUAAGUUGGGAGACGUUACCAACAGAAUAAGCACCGGCUAACUUCGUGCCAGCAGCCGCGGUAAUAC
rnacentral:rRNA from 1 species